AUCAGCCGGUACUCGCGAAUGCCUCUAGAUUANAGUUUGAUCAUGGCUCAGAUUGAACGCUGGCGGCAGGCCUAACACAUGCAAGUCGAACGGUAGCACAGAGGAGGCUUGCUCCUUGGGUGACGAGUGGCGGACGGGUGAGCUAAUGUCUGGUGAGACUGCCUGAUGGAGGGGGACUAACUACUGGAAACGGUAGCCUAAUAUCCGCUACUAACGGUCGACAAGACCAAGAGAGUGGGGACCUUCGUGGCCUCUUGCCAUUCAGCAUGUGCCCAGAAUGGGAUUAUGCUAUGUAGGUGGGGUAAUGGCUCACCUAAGGCGACGAUCCCUAGCCUGGUCUGAAGAGGAUGACCAGCCACACUGGAACUGAGACACGGUCCAGNACUCCUACGGGAGGCAGCAGAUGGGGAAUAUUGCACAAUGGGCGCAAGCCUGAUGCAGCCAUGUCCGCNGUGUAUGAAGAAGGCCUUCGGGUUGUAAAGUACUUUCAGCGGGGAGGAAGGCGAUACGGUUAAUAACCGUGU
rnacentral:rRNA from 1 species